UACGGGGGGAGCAAGCGUUGUUCGGAUUUACUGGGCGUAAAGGGCGCGUAGGCGGUCAGCACAAGUCAGUUGUGAAAUCUCCGGGCUUAACCCGGAACGGUCAAGUGAAACUGUCGUGCUAGAGUACAGAAGGGGCAACUGGAAUUCUCGGUGUAGCGGUGAAAUGCGUAGAUAUCGAGAGGAACACCUGCGGCGAAGGCGGGUUGCUGGGCUGAUACUGACGCUGAGGCGCGAAAGCCAGGGGAGCGAACGGG
rnacentral:rRNA from 1 species